CCUGAGGGUUUGAUCCUGGCUCAGGGCGAACGCUAGCGGCGCGCCUAACACAUGCAAGUCGUGCGGGAAAGGGUUUCGGCCCUAGUACCGCGGCAGACGGGUGAGUAACACGUGAGUAACCUGUCCUCGGGUCUGGGAUAACCAUCCGAAAGGAUGGCUAAUACCGGAUAAAGUCACUGGGCGCAAGCUCAGUGAUGAAAGGGGGCCUCUGCAUAGCAAGCUCCUGCCUGAGGAGGGGCUCGCGGCCCAUCAGCUAGUUGGUGGGGUAACGGCCCACCAAGGCUAUGACGGGUAGCCGGCCUGAGAGGGUGGUCGGCCACACGGGCACUGAGACACGGGCCCGACUCCUACGGGAGGCAGCAGUGGGGAAUCUUGGGCAAUGGGCGCAAGCCUGACCCAGCGACGCCGCGUGGGGGAAGAAGGCCUUCGGGUCGUAAACCCCUGUUCUGGGGGAAGAACCUGGCUGCGAUGAAUAAUCGCAGUCAGCUGACGGUACCCCAGGAGAAAGCCACGGCUAACUGCGUGCCAGCAGCCGCGGUAAUACGCAGGUGGCGAGCGUUGCCCGGAAUUACUGGGCGUAAAGGGUGCGUAGGCGGCAAAGUAAGUCACUGGUUAAAGCCCAGGGCUCAACCCUGGAAAGGCCAGUGAUACUGCUUUGCUUGAGGGCCGGAGAGGCUGGCGGAAUUCCCGGUGUAGGGGUGAAAUCCGUAGAUAUCGGGAGGAACACCGGUGGGGAAGCCGGCCAGCUGGACGGUUCCUGACGCUGAGGCACGAAAGCGUGGGGAGCAAACCGGAUUAGAUACCCGGGUAGUCCACGCCGUAAACGAUGGGUGCUUGGUCUGGGGAGGAAACUCUCUGGGCCGAAGCUAACGCGUUAAGCACCCCGCCUGGGGAGUACGGCCGCAAGGCUGAAACUCAAAGGAAUUGACGGGGGCCCGCACAAGCGGUGGAGCACGUGGUUUAAUUCGAUGCAA
rnacentral:rRNA from 1 species